rnacentral:rRNA from 1 species
UACGGAGGGUGCAAGCGUUAUCCGGAUUCACUGGGUUUAAAGGGUGCGUAGGUGGGCAGGUAAGUCAGUGGUGAAAUCUCUGGGCUUAACUCAGAAACUGCCAUUGAUACUAUCUGUCUUGAAUACCGUAGAGGUCAGCGGAAUAUGUCAUGUAGCGGUGAAAUGCUUAGAUAUGACAAAGAACACCAAUUGCGAAGGCAGCUGGCUAGACGAAUAUUGACACUGAGGCACGAAAGCGUGGGGAUCAAACAGG